rnacentral:rRNA from 1 species
AUGCCCAUCUUUGGCUAUAUGGAGUCUUUCAUCAAGGAAAAAAUCAUAAGCAAGGUUUCGGGAAGAAACUCCGCCGCCACGAGGCGGAACCUUGGCGGAGCUGUUCUGCUGGGGAAACUUCCCUCCGGGAGGGGGAAAUCAUCACCAUCGUCAUCACCAACGAUCCUCUCAUCGGGAGGGGGUCAAUCUCCAUCAACAUCUUCACCAGCACCAUCUCAUCUCAAACCUAGUUCAUCUCUUGUAUCCAAUCUUUGUCCCAAAGCCUCAUAUUGGUACCUGUGGGUUGCUAGUAGUGUUGAUUACUCCUUGUAG